CAAAUAGUUCCAGUAUCUCACCACUCAUACAGUAAGAAUUCCUUCCUAAUAUCUAGUCUAAAUCUACUCUCAUCCAGUUUCAAUCAAUUUACCCUUAUCCUGUCACUACAUGCCCUUAUAAAAAGUCCCUUGCCAGCUUUCCUGUAGGCCCCCUUCAGGUACUGGCAGACCAGUAUAAUGUCACCCUGGAGCCUUCUCUUCUUUAGGCUGAAGAGCCCCAACUUUCUCAGCCUGUGCAGAAGAAUUACCAGGUCCCAGCCUGAAGCAAUGUUUGAGAAUCAGGUGAGAAGGCAUAGCUAACCAAAGGAGCUCAUGUGCAAGCAAUGUACCUGAGUGACAAGAAGGGAUGGAGCCUGGAUCCACCCCUCCUCACCCUCAUUUAAGUGUUAGCAGCCAAGAGAACAGCAUCUUUCAGGAUAGAGGUUGCACCUUUCUUGGGCUGUCACCAGUUGUUGGAAAGCCUUCUGUAAGGAGGCUUUCCCUCCCUCCCAGUCCCAUCAGAGACUGUUCAACCAGGAAAUGCAGCUGCAGAUUCUUCACAGUUUCUUUAGGACAAUUUUUAAAGGAAAAUCCCCUCAUUUUCUUGAAGCAAACUACAUUGCAAGCAAAAGUACAUCAAAGCAACGAUGCCAUAACCACUUAGGAGAAAGUGUCUUCAUGGCUUCAGAAUUAGAGUAACCACUCUUCCAUGUUGCUUAUCUGUGGCUCUACUGGGGAGACUCUACAGUUUCUGUGAAAAGAGGACAUCUACAGGGAACAUUUCACACCUCAGCAUGAGUGGGCCUGGGAUCUUUAGAUAUCUCAUUUUGCUGCCAUGUCAGAGGAAGAAGAUAACUUGGGAUUUUACUUGCAGAGAGGUCGUUGCUUCUUCCUAAAAUGGACUCUAACAUCAUUUGUUACUUUAUGAUUUUCUGUCAGUCCUCAGCUUAGUGUAUAAAGUUCAAGCAGUGAUUAAGCUUAUAAACAAGAUGGGCAGCUGUAUGAAAAAUAUCUUACCUGUGCUGGUGUGGAGGAGAGGGCAGCUUGUUUUGAUAACUGUUGAUUACACUGAAUUGCACUGAUGUACCCCAAGGCAUAUGUGGGACUUCAUUUUUGUAUCAUUCAAAAGAGGUUGAGUUACCCUGAAGAACAGCUAAUUUUAAUGUGAUAUAUAGAACUAAAUAAUAUUCCCUUAAUGACACAUAGUUUUUACAGUUAUUUAGUUAUCAGGAAAAAAAAUGUAAAGGAAUAGCAGAACAGUUUCCACUUCAUUCUAACCUGGAUACAUUUAUAUGUAAAGCUGUUAUUUGUGCCUAUCUUGAGCAGCUGUUGAGUCAUUUUCAGAACCACAAGCUGUGAGUAAUGGGUGUCUAAGAUCAGAAUCACUGUGCCUCUUCUUUCCCUCACUUGUGUUUCCUUUAGCCAAAGGUAAAUUUAUUUAUUUUGUUGAACUAUUUGAUGAGUGGCAAGCUAACUCAUUUCUGUAAGUGACUAUUUUUCCUUACGUGUGGAUUUUAAUAUUUUAAUCUCCUUAUUUGGAAGUCUCCCACUUGAUUAAUGCAUCUGAUUAUUACUAUGAGAGAACUAUCUUUGCUCCAACCCAUCAUUUAUGAAGAAUAUUCCCGAGAAACCUCAGCUUUUCAGUUAUGGCAAGCUGUCCAGCUUCUAUGACUUAUUGCUAACUGAAUACUUCUGCUGGGGUGACACGAAGAAAUAAACCUCAAACCUUCAAAAGGAGUAAAUUAUUU
ensembl:lncRNA